GGAGAGGUGACGGAGUGGCUGAACGUGCUCGCUUGGAAAGCGUGUGUACCGCAAGGUACCGAGAGUUCGAAUCUCUCUCUCUCCGCCA
rnacentral:tRNA from 1 species